GACCCUAAAAAGUCCUUUAAACACAAAGGUUUGGUCCUGACCUUGAAAUCAGUUAUUACUUAAUAUACACAUGCAAGUCUCCGCACCCCUGUGAAAACGCCCUCAAACUCCCCACUAGGGAUAAGGAGCUGGUAUCAGGCACAAUAAUCUGCCCAAGACACCUAGUUACGCCACACCCACAAGGGAACUCAGCAGUGAUUAACAUUGAAUAUAAGCGACAGCUUGAUUCAGUUAAAGUAAAGAGAGCCGGCAAAUCUGGUGCCAGCCGCCGCGGUUACACCAUGUGGCUCAAAUUGAUUCUAAUCGGCGUAAAGCGUGAUUAAAAUUCCACCAUUAUUAGAGUUAAACUAAAACUAAGCUGUGACACGCUUGUAUUUAAGAAAACCAAAAACGAAAGUUACUCCAAUUUAAUCAAUUUGAACUCACGACAGCUAAGACACAAACUGGGAUUAGAUACCCCACUAUGCUUAACCGUAAACUUUAAAUUACACCCAAAUCGCCAGGGAACUACGAGCAAAGCUUAAAACCCAAAGGACUUGACGGUACCCCAUAUCCAC
rnacentral:rRNA from 1 species